rnacentral:misc_RNA from 1 species
GAAACGCGAUAGUUAAUGUGAAUUGCAGAAUUCAGUGAAUCAUCGAGUCUUUGAACGCAUCUUGCGCUCCUUGGUAUUCCGAGGAGCAUGCCUGUUUGAGUGUCAUGAAUCCCUCAGCCCCCAUCGUUUUUUGUUAAGCGAUUGGCUUGGGUCUGGAUUUGGGCGUCUUGCCAAUGCGCUUCUUCAAGUGCUUGGCUCGCCUUAAAGAGAUUAGCUGGACCCUAUUCCGAGCUGGUUCAACUCGACGUGAUAAUUUCAUUCGUCGAGGUAUGGUCGGCCUUACGGCUGAUCAGCCAGGUGUAGGAAUCCGGUCUGCUUCCAACCUUCGUCUGAAGCCAGCAAUGGUGUGAAGCGGAAUUUUUAAUGCUCUGGCCUCAAAUCAGGUAGGAUUACCCGCUGA